rnacentral:rRNA from 1 species
CCUACGGGUGGCAGCAGUGAGGAAUAUUGGUCAAUGGCCGGGAGGCUGAACCAGCCAAGUCGCGUGAGGGAAGACGGCCCUACGGGUUGUAAACCUCUUUUGUCAGGAAGCCAGGUGCAGGUCGGGACCUGCUGUGAGAGUACCUGACGAAAAAGCAUCGGCUAACUCCGUGCCAGCAGCCGCGGUAAUACGGAGGAUGCGAGCGUUAUCCGGAUUUAUUGGGUUUAAAGGGUGCGCAGGCGGCGGCACAAGUCAGCGGUAAAAUCGCGGGGCUGAAACCCGCUCCGCCGUUGAAACUGUUUGCCUUGAGUGCGCGAAGGGUAGGCGGAAUGCGUGGUGUAGCGGUGAAAUGCAGAGAUAUCACGCAGAACUCCGAUCGCGAAGGCAGCCUACCGGCGCGCAACUGACGCUCAUGCACGAAAGCGUGGGUAUCGAACAGGAUUAGAUACCCCAGUAGUC